rnacentral:rRNA from 1 species
ACUCCUACGGGAGGCAGCAGUGGGGAAUCUUGGGCAAUGGGCGAAAGCCUGACCCAGCCAUGCCGCGUGUGUGAAGAAGGCCUUAGGGUUGUAAAGCACUUUCAGCAGCGAAGAAAUGCGACGAGUUAAUACCUCGUUGUCUUGACGUUAACUGCAGAAGAAGCACCGGCUAACUCCGUGCCAGCAGCCGCGGUAAUACGGAGGGUGCGAACGUUAAUCGGAAUUACUGGGCGUAAAGCGCGCGUAGGCGGAUAGGUAAGUGGGAUGUGAAAGCCCCGGGCUCAACCUGGGAACUGCAUUCCAAACUGCCGAUCUAGAGUUUGGUAGAGGGAGGUGGAAUUUCCUGUGUAGCGGUGAAAUGCGUAGAUAUAGGAAGGAACACCAGUGGCGAAGGCGGCCUCCUGGACCAAAACUGACGCUGAGGUGCGAAAGCGUGGGAGCAAACAGGAUUAGAUACCCUGGUAGACUGUCA